AACAAUGGUGGCUCAGGUGGGGGAGCCGUAUAAGGCUCGCCGGGGUACACCGGUAUUGCGAACCCCGCUUGGGCUACCACCA
rnacentral:antisense_RNA from 16 species